rnacentral:rRNA from 1 species
AGGAUUAACGCUGGCGGCGUGCCUGACACAUGCAAGUCGAACGAGGCCGCAAGGCCGAGUGGCGGACGGGUGAGUAACACGUGACCAACCAACCUCGAAGUUGGGAAUAGCUCUGCGAAAGUAGGGGUAAUACCGAAUGUGGCCCAGGGCAGGCAUCUGCCUUGGUCUAAAGAUUCAUCGCUUCGAGACGGGGUCGCGGCCUAUUAGCUUGUUGGUGGGGUAACGGCUCACCAAGGCGAUGAUGGGUAGCUGGUCUGAGAGGACGACCAGCCACACUGGGACUGAGACACGGCCCAGACUCCUACGGGAGGCAGCAGUGAGGAAUCUUCCGCAAUGGGCGAAAGCCUGACGGAGCAACGCCGCGUGUGGGAUGAAGGCUCUAGGGUUGUAAACCACUGUCGGAGGGGACGAUCGGUGACCGGUACCCUCCAAGAAACGCCCCGGCUAACUACGCGCCAGCAGCCGC